rnacentral:rRNA from 1 species
GACGAACGCUGGCGACGUGCUUAACACAUGCAAGUCGAACGGAAAGGCCCUGCUUUUGUGGGGUGCUCGAGUGGCGAACGGGUGAGUAACACUUGAGUAACCUGCCCUUGACUUUGGGAUAACUUCAUGAAACUGGGGCUCAUCCCGGCUAGGAGCUCCUGCUGCAUGGUGGGGGUUGGAAAGUUUCGGCGGUUGGGGAUGGACUCGCGGCUUAUCAGCUUGUUGGUUGGGUAGUGUCUUACCAAGGCUUUGAGAGGUAGCCGGGCUGCGAGGGUGACCGGACACACUGGGACGGAGAUAAGGCACAGACUAGUACGGGAGGCAGCAGUGGGGAAUAGUGCACAAGGGGCGGAAGCAUGAUGCAGCAAAGCAGCGUGCGGGAUGACGGCAAUCGGGUUGCAAACCGAUGUCGCCUGUGACGAAGCGUGAGUGACGGUAAUGGGUAAAGAAGCACCGGCUAACUACGUG